rnacentral:rRNA from 1 species
GUGCCAGCAGCCGCGGUAAUUCCGAGGGGGCGAGCGUUAAUCGGGAUUACUGGGCGUAAGCGCGCGUAGGUGGCUUGGCACGCCGGUUGUGAAAGCCCCGGGCUCAACCUGGGAACGGCAUCCGGAACGGUCAGGCUAGAGUGCAGGAGAGGAAGGUAGAAUUCCCGGUGUAGCGGUGAAAUGCGUAGAGAUCGGGAGGAAUACCAGUGGCGAAGGGCGGCCUUUCUGGCUUGACACUGACACUGAGGUGCGAAAGCGUGGGUAGCAAACAGGAUUAGAUACCCUGGUAUUCC